AAUGAACGCUGGCGGCGUGCUUAACACAUGCUAGUCGAACGAUCUUGUUUCUUUCGGGGAGCAAGGGAGUGGCAGACGGGUGAGUAACACGUGGGCAACCUACCCUUGAGUGAGGAAUACCGUUUCGAAAGGAACGUUAAUACCGCAUAACACUACGAGAACCUCGGUUCUUGUGCUCAAAGCUGGGGCUCCUGGAAACGGGACCUGGCGCUUAAGGAGGGGCUCGCGUCAGAUUAGCUAGUUGGUGGGGUAAAGGCCUACCAAGGCAAUGAUCUGUAGCCGGCCUGAGAGGGUGAUCGGCCACACUGGAACUGAGACACGGUCCAG
rnacentral:rRNA from 1 species